rnacentral:rRNA from 1 species
UACGAAGGGUGCAAGCGUUACUCGGAAUUACUGGGCGUAAAGCGUGCGCAGGCGGUUUUGUAAGACUGUCGUGAAAUCCCCGGGCUCAACCUGGGAAUGGCGAUGGUGACUGCAAGGCUAGAGUUUGGCAGAGGGGGGUAGAAUUCCACGUGUAGCAGUGAAAUGCGUAGAUAUGUGGAGGAACACCGAUGGCGAAGGCAGCCCCCUGGGUCAAAACUGACGCUCAUGCACGAAAGCGUGGGGAGCAAACAGG